rnacentral:rRNA from 1 species
UUCGGGGAAGAAGAAAUUGUGACUGAGUGGCGGACGGGUGAGUAACGCGUGGGCAACCUGCCCCAUACAGGGGGAUAACAGCCGGAAACGGCUGCUAAAACCGCAUAAGCGCACAAGGGCCGCAUGGCCUGGUGUGAAAAACUCCGGUGGUAUGGGAUGGGCCCGCGUCUGAUUAGCUAGUUGGCGGGGGAGAGGCCCACCAAGGCGACGAUCAGUAGCCGACCUGAGAGGGUGGCCGGCCACAUUGGGACUGAGACACGGCCCAAACUCCUACGGGAGGCAGCAGUGGGGAAUAUUGCACAAUGGGGGAAACCCUGAUGCAGCGACGCCGCGUGAGCGAAGAAGUAUUUCGGUAUGUAAAGCUCUAUCAGCAGGGAAGAAAAAUGACGGUACCUGAGUAAGAAGCACCGGCUAAAUACGUGCCAGCAGCCGCGGUAAUACGUAUGGUGCAAGCGUUAUCCGGAUUUACUGGGUGUAAAGGGAGCGCAG